rnacentral:rRNA from 1 species
AGAGUUUGAUCCUGGCUCAGAACGAACGCUGGCGGCAUGCCUCAUACAUGCAAGUCGAACGAAGGCUUCGGCCUUAGUGGCGCACGGGUGAGUAGCGCGUGGGAACCUACCCUUUUGUGGGGGAUAACCGAGGGAAACUUCGGCUAAUACCGCAUACGCCGGGUAACCGGGAAAGAUUUAUCGCAGAAGGAUGGGCCCGCGUCGGAUUAGCUAGUUGGUGGGGUAAUGGCCUACCAAGGCAAUGAUCCGUAGCUGGUCUGAGAGGAUGAUCAGCCACACUGGGACUGAGACACGGCCCAGACUCCUACGGGAGGCAGCAGUAGGGAAUAUUGGACAAUGGGCGAAAGCCUGAUCCAGCAAUGCCGCGUGAGUGAGGAAGGCCUUAGGGUUGUAAAGCUCUUUCGGCGGGGACGAUGAUGACGGUACCCGCAGAAGAAGCCCCGGCUAACUUCGUGCCAGCAGCCGCGGUAAUACGAAGGGGGCGAGCGUUGUUCGGAAUUACUGGGCGUAAAGGGCGCGUAGGCGGCCAUCUUUGUCAGGCGUGAAAGCCCUGGGCUCAACCCAGGAAUUGCGCUUGGGACGGGUUGGCUUGAGUUCGGGAGAGGAGAGUGGAAUUCCCAGUGUAGAGGUGAAAUUCGUAGAUAUUGGGAAGAACACCGGUGGCGAAGGCGGCUCUCUGGACCGAUACUGACGCUGAGGCGCGAAAGCGUGGGGAGCAAACAGGAUUAGAUACCCCUGUAGUCC